rnacentral:lncRNA from 1 species
GAGAGAAUAAGAGGUCUUAUAAGAUGAACAGAAGAAGAAAAAGAGGCUUUCUAGGUGUUGUCCCUCUUCUGAGGCUCGAACGGCGCUUUUCCACGAAGGAUAAUUACUAACAGUUUCGCCUGCAUCAUUCGCAGAUCACUCAGUCAUGCCGACACGUCUUCUUCGUCCUCAGAGCCAGAAGCCUGAUCUGUCGUUUCCUUGUACUAAGCGAGCAAUGUCGGAAGAAGACAGCUUUAUCGGGUAAAUAGUUCCAAACCUCACCGAAGAUGAUAAAGAACGUCUCGUUUAUUUUAAGCACUUCAUAAACGCCUGUAGGAAGCUUGAAAUGAAGAAAAUUGGCUAUCAGAGAUCGAGAUAAUGAAUUAAGACGGUGCGUUUGAAUCAAAUACAAGAUGCCAACACGCCAUGUUGCUGCAAUUUGCAAGUUGCUGCCACAAAUGAUUGAUAACA